rnacentral:rRNA from 1 species
AGUGAACGCUGGCGGUAGGCCUAACACAUGCAAGUCGAACGGCAGCACAGUAAGAGCUUGCUCUUACGGGUGGCGAGUGUCGGACGGGUGAUGAAUACAUCGGAAUCUACUUUUUCGUGGGGGAUAACGUAGGGAAACUUACGCUAAUACCGCAUACGACCUACGGGUGAAAGCAGGGGAUCUUCGUACCUUGCGCGAUUGUAUGAGCCGAUGUCGGAUUAGCUAGUUGGCGGGGUAAAGGCCCACCAAGGCGACGAUCCGUAGCUGGUCUGAGAGGAUGAUCAGCAACACUGGAACUGAGACACGGUACAGACUCCUACGGGAGGCAGCAGUGGGGAAUAUUGGACAAUGGGCGCAAGCCUGAUCCAGCCAUACCGCGUGGGUGAAGAAGGCCUUCGGGUUGUAAAGCCCUUUUGUUGGGAAAGAAAAGCAGCAGGUUAAUACCCCGCUGUUCUGACGGUACCAAAAGAAUAAGCACCGGCUAACUUCGUG